CCCAAGUCUCACAACCUACAGUACUUAAUAGAUUACAUAAUAAUAUCGAAUAAAGACUUAUUACAUAAUCCUACUUAAGUUUAGCAUAGUCUGAAAACAGUCUUAAUACAACAUAAUACUCUUAAACAUAAAAGGGACAAGCUAGUCGGUAGCCUUGCCCUUGCCCUUGUCUUGCCCAAAGACACUUCCCUGUUCCGCCUUAACUGAAAGGUUUUAAAUAAGCAAGGAUGAACACAAAUUGCCCAGCAAGUAAUAUACAACAAGGGUAAAGAGUUUCAUAACACAAGUUUGAAAUAUCGAAGUGUCAUCUCUAAGAUAGUUUAGAGUUUCAGAAUAAUAUCAUGAAUAAUGAGUAUCAAUAAUUCUUGGAAUAAGAACGGUAAUUCAAUAUAAACCAACAGAUAUAUAUAUGAAUUCAACGACUAUCAACGUAUCCAACUAGAUAAAUAAUUUAUACUGAGUAGUCACUAAGGACUAUUGAACAUCUACUAGAAUUACCAAUAUUAAAUUGAUAACCCAAAAGAAUCAAAUACUAAUCUCUGGCGCAGCUGCGCCAGUUUGUACUGCUGGGACGGCGCAGCUACGUUGUACCCUGACUGUGCCAAGACUGGUUUAGCUUCAAGCCAGUGUCAACUUUCAUUGCCAAAUUCAUGACAUGUAUUACUGCCCACAUGAGUGAUAUUGCUAAUCUAAGAGUGUGUUCAUUACUUAUAUGAAAUCACAUGCUCAACCACGAUUAAUCUUCCUAAUUCCCUUGUAAACUCGCUUCGUGAAUUUCCUCGUUUCACAUUAUGCCACACAAGGCAUUUCAAAAUUCUUAUUGUCAAUUCACACUUCUCAAUACGUAUUAAUCUAAUGCGAAUCAAUUGAAUUAUUCCACUUUCUAAACAUCAUUACUUAUAUUCACAUAAAUAUUAUUUCCAUUAAUAUACUUUAAGUAAUCAACCUAUCGCGCGUAUCAAUCUUGUUUAGCGACUAUUUGCUCUACUAGAUUGGAUUAUUUUAUCCAAUCGACAUUUUCCACUUUUAUGGGGUUGUUCACCUCAGACUUAUCAUAAGAUUCCGCACCAAAAUAAUUUGUAUUGACAUAAAUUCUCAAAGAAUACUUUGAAUUUUAUAAACAUUUGUUUAGCUAAAUCAAAUAGCUUAGACGUAUACUAAUAAUUCGAAUAUCAAUCAAAACAUGUGUCUGGCCAAAUUUAAUUAUCUUUAAAAUUCUAAAGAUUAUUUUUUUACGUCAUGAUACCGCACUGUAUUUACAUCCUGUUUGAUGAUUCUGUCAUUUUGUGACUUUGUCAUACUAGAACAUACAGUAAUGGGCUGACGAUCCUUAGAUCCCAUCCAACACUAGGUAAUUAUAUAUUGAUAACUCCAUCAUUUUUAUCAUCACUGCACCAGGUUCAAUAAUGCAUUAAUGAUAUAUAAAAUAUAUUUUGAUAUAUUUCAAAUUAUUUUUGUCUAGCCGAAACAAUUAGCUUAGACACGUGAAUAAUAAAACUUUUUAAAACUCAUUGGUUCAGUAAUCUGACCCAAUAUUUUUUUUCAAAAAUGCUUUUAUAAGCACGAUGUCAAUAAAUUUCGAAGUCUAGCAUAGCUAGAAGAUUUGGAAUACCUAUGCUUCUUCCAUCAAUCUCCAAUUUUCUCCCAUAUUUCAUUGCUUAAUAAUUCUAACUCUUUCUAUCAUUCUUAAAGCUUACUACACCGAAAAUCCUCAAUUCUCCAUUCAUAACUUUUCUAGCUAUACCCCAGUAUAGUUCAUUAAACUUACAACACGUUAUAAGUUCAUGAACUUUUCACAAUAAUAUUAGUUUAGGAACUUAUCCUAGCAAUACGUAGUCCAAGAAUUAAUCAGGGACUUUCCAUACGCUUAGGGGUUCAAAAACAUAUCAUAUGAUUAUGAGUCACAAAUAUACCAUAAGUAUGACUUUUAAGAACUCGCACCUAACCUUAUAUCUCUACCUAUCCGUUAUACACAUAACAAAAGAAUCACCUUCUCAACAUGAAUAUAGCAAAUCGCGUGACACCAGGUUCCAAUGAUUAUCAAUGUAAAAAGCUAAGUGGUUGUCGAACCAAACACAAUCCAGUGCCCAUACAAGGAAUUGGUCAACUCUGCCACUAAUCAAUAUAGGAAGCUAAGCGGUUAUUAAACCAAGGAUAAAUUCCCCGCCCAUACAAGGAAUUGUUAAACUUAACCACUAUAUCAAUAUAGGAAGCUAAGUGGUUCUCAAACCAAGUACAAAUUCCCCACCCAUACAAGGAAUCAUAAAACUUAGCUUCUAACAUGAGUCCUCAAUUAAAAUCCCAAAUAAUCCUAAUCUUACUCUUUACUUAAUACGAAUUUUAUUUAAUCUAUAUCUUUAACAUUUAUUACUCUUUUCUGAGUUUACAUAGUACAAUUACAUAGUACAUUUUUUAUAGCAUCAUGCUAUAUCUUCUUAAUUGUCCAACAGAUCACCUGUCAUUCAUGAUUCAGUUUGAUCACGUUGUGAUCUUAUCUUAUAAUCAUGUUAUAUUAGGAUUCUUUCAUAUCUUAGGAUCGUUUUGUUUUACGAUCUUCUUAUCUCUUCUUUUUAAUCAUAUCUUAUUAUGAUUUUAUUUAAGCUUUUCAUCUUUAUUACUGGAGGCAGGUAACUCCAGAUUCUUAUCUUCUAUAACUCUUCGAGAUUCUUCUUUGAAUCUUAUUUACUUAAUAAUGAAUUUCCCAAAUUCAACUCUAAGAACUUAAACUCUAUUUGAGUUUAUUCCUUAUCCUUAUCCCUGUGGUUAUGCCCUAAGGUACCCCUACCUAAGGUUUAUAACCUAUCAACUUUGAUACCAAAUGUAAUGCCCCCAAAUCCGGAUACCUUGAACCUGGUGCGUCAUGAUACAACAUAUUUAUACUAAUUCUAUAAACUAAUGCGGAAUAUAUAAACAUACUUUGUUUAUUUCAAAGUUUUCUACAACAUUACCCCAAGGUCUACAACCUUAACUUAGUACAUACCUUCAAUAAAUUGAAAGGUUUACAAUGUCAUUUGCAUCAAAUAACAUAAUAGUUCAAAUGCAUGAUAAUCUACUCUUGGAAAUUGCCUUUGCCAUUGUCAUUCUUCGAGCCUUCGUCUUAAUCUAAAAUUGAUUAUCAUAAUAUAGCAAGGGUGAGCAACUACUUUGCUCAACAAGUUUAAAUACAAUAAAAAUAUAUCAAAUUGAAAGAAAGAAUAAGCUUUCGAAUGUUCAAAAAUAUAAUAAUUAUGAAAUAGCAUAAAUCAAAAUUUCAAUAAUUGAAUGACUGAACCAAUAAUGUUGAGUGGUCAACAAUGACCAUGAACAAUUUAACUAAACCUUAUGGUAAUGAAGAUGAUCAGCCUUUCAUACCAGAUGAACAUAUGCAAUAUGCACUAAGUGCGAAUCAAUAAUCAUAGAUGUGGAAUAAUCAAUAAUAAUUAUCCACUAACAUGCUUUGAAAUAAUAACUCGAGUUUGAGUUAAAGAACUUGCAUGUACCGUCGAUUACUACUACGCAGUCUAAUUUAAUCUCUUUAUUGUAAAGACCUAUCAUUUUUAAGAUUGAUCUUUCAAUCAACAUAUCAUAUUAUACCUCAUAAUACUACUACUCUAUAAGUAAAUUAUCUAACAUUUAACCACAUAAUCAAAUAUUUGGUACUACAUUAAAACAUCAGUUAAUUUUUCCAUGUUUAGUCUCAUUUUUUUGCCGGCAGGACUGUUCCGACCAAAACAGCCACUACGGCUUAAAAAGUCAACAUUUUUUUAGUGCUACCACUUGAGUUUUCUAGUUAAUUUAUAUAUCUAGCACUCCUCUUUUACGGAUCACAAAAAGAAGUUAUAGAUCUAAAAUGGUAAUUGAUCAUAGUGAACAAAAGUUAGGGUUUUCUACCCUUUAGAAACUAGUUUAUAUUUCUCUCAUUUUGAUCCAACUUUUGACACACAAAAUGGUUAGUUAUACCCAUAACAUACUCUAAAUCAUGUAGAUCUAGAUUUUUGAAGUUUAAGAACAUCAAUCCAAGUUUUGAUUUAAACAACUAAAAAUAACUUUGAUAAAAGGUGUUUAUAUCUUUGAUUUGUGACUAUUCUUCCUUGAUAUAUCAAAGUAGGUGAUGAUUUUGGGUAGAAGGAAGAUGAAAGCCUCUUUCCCUUGCUCCCUUACUCCAUCCGAAUCCUUCUCUUGUCUCUCUCUUUCUUUCUUUCUUAGUUUAGCUUGAGAGAAAUAGAUGAAAGAGAAAGUAAAUGGAUUUUUAUGUAAUUAAGAGAUAUACUUUUUAUAUCUAUCAUACAUCCCCCAUCAACUCUCUUAUCUCUCCCUCCAGUCAUGUUGUGGUUACUUGAAAGCUAAAGAUUAAUUGUAGCUUUGGUGAAAAUAAGUGGCUUGACUUAAGGGUUGACACCUUGCAUAGUUGGUGAGGAUUUGGUAAACUAAAUAAUUACAUCAUAUGGCACCUCCUUCUUUCAUUUGGGUUCACCCACCUCCUCUUCUUCUAGCCCAUUGCUUAUUUAUUUUUAAUGCUUUAUUUACUUAAUUGCAUGUCCAAAAUGUCCCUCUUCAAUUGGGCUAAAAGAUUGGGUUUUAAUUUUAAAAGUCCGGGCUUUGCAAUUAAAAUAUUUGGACUUCCUAACUAAAAUUUUUGAGCCAUAAGAAUUAAUAUGGUCCAUUAUCUUAAAUUCUAUCCUACCCUAAUCAUUUAAUUAGGGUUUCCAUUUACUAAAUUAUAAUUUAAAUUCUUACUCAUUUACACUUAAUUUCUUAACCAAAUUAGACUUGCUUUAAUUAGAUUAUAAAAUUAAUUAAUUGAGAUAUAUAAAAUAAAUAUCUUAGGAUUAGUAUAUAUUAUAAAUACUAUUAUUCUCUCAUACCAUAACCUUUAAGUUAUUCAAUUCUCAUACCUAAAAUUUAAUAAGGUUAAAUUAGUUUCUUUUAUUUGUUUAUAUAAUAAACAAAUAUAAACAAUCACAUAAUAUUUAUAUUCAUUUACUCACAUAUUCAUACAAAAUAAUUUAAUAGGUCGAGACGUGUUUCACAAAUCUCUUAGAUUAGGUCACUAGUAUAUAAUUAAAAUACUAAGACCGCUAAAUAAAAAUAACCAUUUCGGUUAUUUAAUCCCAAAAUCUAAUUUAUAACGUUAGGCUACAAAGUUUUCUUUAAUUCUCUUUAUAUAAAGAAUAACUAUAUAUACAUAUUUACAAUAUAUGUAUUUACUUAAUCUCACACAUGUCCCACAUAAGUCAUAAUGUAUUUAUCCUUAUCAUUUCUCAUUUAAUUUCUUUACCUUGCUUAAGGAUUCAAAUCAAACUAUAUAAGUUCUUUAAAAAUUUUAAUUCAUCCUCUAAGUCCCAUCUAGGUUUUAUUCUUUAACAUUUAUUUUACUCAUUCAAGAUCUUAUGAAUUUUUUGGGUUGUCACAAUUCUCAAAGAAGUACUUGAAUUUUCAUAAACAUUUAUCUAAGUGAAUCAAAUAGCUUAGACUUGUACCGAUAAUUCGAACAUUAAUCAAAACAUUUGACUAGCCACUUUAAUUGGCGUUGACUUUUCUUUAAUUGGUUCAAAAUUUUGAAAAUCCUUUUAUGACUUCAUGAUACCGCACUAUAUUUAUAGUCCGUUUGAGGAUUCCGUCAUUUUGUGACUUUGUCAUACUACAUCAUACUAUAGUGGUUUGAAGAUCCUUAGAUCACAUCUAACACUAGGUAAUUCUGCAUUGAUAACUCCAUCAUUUUUAUCAUCUCUGCACCAUGUUCAAUGAUGCAUUAAUGAUAUAUAAAAUACAUUUUGAUAUUUUAAAUUAUUUUUGUCUAGCUGAAACAAUUAGCAUAGACGUAUAAAUAAUAGAACUUUUAAAACUCAUUGGUUUAGUAAUCUGACCCAAUAUUUUUUUUUCAAAAAUGCUUUUAUUAGCACGAUGUCAAUAAAUUCAAAAUCUAGCAGGAAUACAUAUGCUUCCUUUAUUAACUCCAAUUUUUUUUUCUCCAAUAGUUCUUUACUUAAUAAUUCUAUCUAUUUCUAUCCUUAAAACUUACCACUAAAAAUCCUCAAUUCUUCAUCCACCACUUUUCUAUACCCUGCUGUAGUUCAUCAAACAUAGCACACGUUAUGAGUUCAAGAACUUACCACAAUAAUAUGAGUUUAGGAAUUUGUCCUAACAAUACGUAGUUCAAGAACCAAUCAGUAACUGUCCAUACGCUUAGGGGUUCAAAAAUAUACCAUACGAUUAUGAGUCACAAACUUACCAUAAGUAUGAGUUUUAAGAACUCGCACCUAACCUUAUAUUCUCUACCUAUCUGUUAUACACAUGAGAAAAGAAUUACAUUCUCAACAUGCAUGUAGCGAAUAGCGCGACACCCGGUUCCAAUGAUUAUCAAUGUGAUAAACUGAGUAGAAGUUAGACCAAGCACAAACCCCUACCUAUACAAAGGUUUAUACAACUCAGCUAUCACAUGAAUCCUCAAUUGAAAUCAGACACCAUUCUAACUUUCUCUUUACUCGAUACGAAUUUCAUUUAAUUCGUAUCUCACCAUCUAAAACUCUUUCCUGAGUUUACAUAGUUCAAUUUCAUAGUACAACUUUCGUACAACAAUUCUACUAUAACAUUUUCAAUCAAUCGAGUGAUCCUCUAUCCUCUUCUAACCUCACCAGAUCACGUUGUGACCUUUUCUUAUAAUUGUGUUAUAUUACAAUUUUUUUUAUCUUCUGAUCGUUUUGUUUUACUAUCUUCUUAUCUUUAAUCAUAUUAUAUUAUCAUUUUCUUUAUGUUUUUAGUCUUAUAUAUAGACUCUAUCUAUUCAUUAUUAAUUUUCAUCUUCAUUUUCAGAGUUGGGUAACUCUGGAUUCUUAUCUUUAUAACUUUUCAAGAUUCUUCUUUGAAUCUUAUUUAUCUUCUCCUUUACUUAAUAAUGAAUUUCCCAAAUUCAUCUCUUAAUAAUUUAAACUCUAUUUGAGUUUAUUCCGUAUCCUCAUCUCUGUGGUUAUAGCCUAAGGUACCCCUACCUAAGGUUUAUAACCUACAACUUUGAUACCAACCUGUAGCUCCCCCAAAUCCGAGCCCAUUUUAACUCGAACCUGGUGCGUCACGAAACAACAUCUUUAUACACAUUCUAUAAACUAAUGCGGAAUAUAUAAACAUACAUUGUUUAUUUCAAAUGAUUCUAAAACAUUUUCCAAGGUCUAUAACCUUAACUUGAUACAUUCCUUUAAUAUCAAAAAAAAAAUUACAUUAAUAACUUACACUAGAUAACUAAUUAGUUAACAUGCAUACCAAUCUAAUCUUGUACUUUACUUUUGUCUCUGUCCUUUCUCGAACAUUCGUCUCAAUCUAAAAUUUUUUAUCAUGAUAUAACAAGGGUGAGCAACUACUUUGCUCAACAAGUUUAAAUACAAGAAUGAUAUAUCAUGAUUGAAAAUGAAUAAUAACCUUUCAAAAUUUUCAACAAUAUAAUAAUUAUGAAAGAGCUUGAAUUAGAACUUCAAUAAUUGAAUGACUGAACCAAUAAUGUUAAGUGGUCAACAAUGACCAUUAACAAAUUUAACAGAACCUUAUGGUAAUCAAGGUGAUCAGCCUUUCAUACCUGAUGAACACAUGCAACAUGUACUAAAUGCGAGUCAAUAAUUAUAGAUGUGGAAUAAUCAACAAUAAUUAUCCACUAACAUACUUCGAAAUAAUAACUCGAGUUUGAGUUAGGGAACUUUCAUGUACCGUCGAUUAAUGUUACGCAAUCUAAUUUAAUCUCUUUAUUGUAAAGACCUAUCAUUGUUAAGAUUGAUCUUUCAAUCAACAUAUAAUAGUAUAUCUCAUAAUACAACUACUUUACAAGUAAAUUAUCUAACACUUAACCACAAAAUCAAAUAUUAGAUAAUACCUUAAAACUUCAGUGUUAUUAGUGUCCUUUGAUAAUUUUUCAAUUACUUUAUCAUUAUGAUUUAACACUUAACCUUUCAUUUUAUAAGUUCUUCUAUAUAAUCUAGCAAGCCGAAUACCUAUUCCAGCAACCUAGAUUAUUCAAACAACUUGUUUCCCCAACAAAGCAAAACUGACAUAACUAAUCCAACAAACUGGACUUAAACUGAAUUUCAAUUUAGUAAAAUGUUUUCCAAUCUAGCAAACUGGAUUCAACUGACCUCCAAUCCAACAAGCAUGGAUUCAAACUGACCUCCAAUCCAGCAAGCAUGGAUUCAAACUGUCCUACAAUCCAGCAACCUGAAUUCACUAAUCCUCCAAUCCAUUAUACUAUAUAUUAAAUAUAGCAUAUUGAAUGUCAAAUAAAUAACUUAACUCCUCUUUUAAACUCUCAUUUAAUAUUAUUAAUUAUUUAAUAAUAUUUAAAUCAUUUACUAAUAUUAUUAAUCAUUAAAAUAAUAUUUUAAACCAAUGAUUUAAUAACAUUUUAAUCUAAAUGUUAUCAAUCACUUAAUAAUAUCUUAAUAUAAUAUUAUUAAUCUUUUAAUAAUAUUUUAAUAAUUUAUUAAACUUAUAAACAAUUUAUUUUAAUUGAUUAAUAUUUAGUAAUUCAUUUAUUUAAUGAACCUAAAAUGCCAUAAACAUAAUAUGACAUCAACAUUAAACAAAUUACCCUUCAAAAAUCUACAUAUACCCUAGUUAGGGUUUUCAAGCCAUAAAGUCAUAUUUUUCUAAUUUUCAACAUCACAUAACAUAUUUUAUUUAUUUAUUCAUAACUAAAUCAUUUCCAUGAAAAAUACCAAAGCAGUUCUAAAACUUUUUCUUUUCUAGGAUUUGACAAAAUAUGUCUCCCUUAUGAACAUAUAUUUUUUCUGAAAUUUUUGAAAUUCAUUUACUAUUUUUAAAUAGUCCAAAACAACCAAAUCUUGCUACAUUUAUCAUAAAUCGAAACUUUGUUCAAAAAUUCUAAAAUUUAUAGGGUAUGUUCUUGACAUAUAUAUAUAUAUAUAUAUAUAUAUAUAUAUAUAUAUAUAUAUAUAUAUAUAUAUAUAUAUAUAUAUAUAUAUAUACCUCCCGUAAAUAUUUCAUAAUUUUUGGAGUUUUCCACAAAGAGUUAUUCAAGUUUACUUUUAAAAUAGUCAUUUCCCAUAAAAUUCAUAACUCUCAUUCUAUACAUCCAAAAACUCUCAUCUUUGGACAUGAUGCAGUUAACUUUUCAUAUUAACUCCCCAAAUUUCUUAGACUUUUUAAAGUACAAAAAAGUAACGAAAAUGCCCCUGGACCAAACUGGCUAGGGGACUUUUCCCAUGUUUAGUUUCCUUCUUUUGCCAGCAGGAUUGUUCCGACCAAAAUAGCUACUACGACUUGGAAAAUCAACACUUUUGAGUGCUACCUCUUAGAUUUGCUAGUUAACUUACAUAUCUAGUACUCUUAUUUGACGGAUCGCAAAAAAGAAGUGUAGAUCUAAAACGGUAGACAUUUAAAUUACAUAAAAGUUAGGGUUUUCUAACUUUUGUAAACCUAGUUUCCUUUUCUUUCUUUAGAUCUAACUUUUGACACUCAAAAGGGUUAGAUCUAAAAAUAAUACACUUAUUAACACGUAGAUAUAAGAUUUUGAAGUUUAAAAACAUUAGAUCCUAAUUCCAUCAAAAUCAACAAAACAAAAAUAAUAAACUAGUUUACAUAUAGGUUUUUAUACCUUUGUAUGUAUGAUCUUCUUCUUCCUUCCAAGGUUGGUUAUGAAGUGAAGUUUGAAAGCACAAAAAUCACUCCUCUCUUCUCGUAAGGCUACCGAAAUUUAUCUCUCUCUUUCAUUGAUUUAUUUUGAUAGUUUAAGAAUGUGAGCUGAAAGAUGAAAGAUUAGAUUUUUGUUGGAAAAGAAAUGUACAGAUGUAUGAUGUAUAUCAAAAUGCAUCCCCCACACUCUUGCUCUUUUUCUCUCUUUAAUCAUUAAAUUGUUA
rnacentral:lncRNA from 1 species